UCUGCUGGUGUCGAGUGCCAGGGGGGGAUGAACUGGGAGAAAAGAGGUUCCAUUUGAGUGCUGUGGAUCCAUGCCUUUUGCAAAUCUGCUUGUCUGGCCUUGGACCAGCUCUCCUGCUCAAUGCAGAAUGCCACAUCUUUAUCAGAGGCAGAUGCUUUUCACCCCCAGCAUGUCCUACAGCUUUGCCUUGUUUGUGGGGCAUCCUCUCCCUGUGCUGCUCAGCCCUGGGGAGGGCUCCAGGUGGACUCUGUGUGUCAAGGAAGGUGCAGACUGAGUCAAAAAGAGUCCAGAGAAGAGGCUCCCUGUUCUCCUGCCUCUCUUGCUACACCCAUGGUGCUGCUCCCCAGGAAUCCUCAGAAGGACUUUGCUCUCUGCUCUGCUUCCCUGAUCUCCACUCUGAGUGGGAGCACUUUAGAUUGUGUGACGGAUCACUGUCCCUUUUGGGCCACACAGUGGCAAGGGUUCUUCCAGACACUUGUGAUGAUGAAGUGAAAUCCACGUUUCUGUGA